UGGGGGAAUUUUGGACAAUGGGCGAAAGCCUGAUCCAGCAAUGCCGCGUGUGUGAAGAAGGCCUUCGGGUUGUAAAGCACUUUUGUCCGGAAAGAAAUCCUUGGCUCUAAUACAGUCGGGGGAUGACGGUACCGGAAGAAUAAGCACCGGCUAACUACGUGCCAGCAGCCGCGGUAAUACGUAGGGUGCAAGCGUUAAUCGGAAUUACUGGGCGUAAAGCGUGCGCAGGCGGUUUGCUAAGACCGAUGUGAAAUCCCCGGGCUCAACCUGGGGAACUGCAUUGGUGACUGGCAGGGCUAGAGUAUGGCAGAGGGGGGUUAGAACUCCACGUGUGAGCAGUGAAAUGCGUAGAGAUGUGGAGGAAUACCGAUGGCGAAGGCAGCCCCCUGGGCCAAUACUGACGCUCAUGCA
rnacentral:rRNA from 1 species